CGUGGGGUAACCUGGCCUCAGAGUUUGGGAUAACCUUUCGAAAGAAGGGGCUAAUACCAAGUAAGACCACGAAUACUGCGGUAUUUGAGGCCAAAGAUGCUUUUACGGGUGUCGCUCUGAGAUGGGCCCGCGGUGCAUUAGCUUGAUGGUAGGGUAACGGCCUACCAUGGCUCCGAUGCAUAGCUGGUCUGAGAGGACGAUCAGCCACACUGGAACUGAGACACGGUCCAG
rnacentral:rRNA from 1 species